rnacentral:rRNA from 1 species
AGCAUACUGCCCCGUGAAUACGUUCCCGGGCCUUGUACACACCGCCCGUCACACCAUGAGAGUUGGGAAUACCCGAAGCCUGUGAGCUAACUUAUAGAGGCAGCAGUCGAAGGUAGAAUCAAUGAUUGGGGUGAAGUCGUAACAAGGUAUC